UACGAAGGGGGCUAGCGUUGUUCGGAAUUACUGGGCGUAAAGCGCGCGCAGGCGGCGGUGUUGGCCCGGCGUGAAAGCCCCCGGCUCAACCGGGGAGAGUCGUCGGGGACCGCACCGCUUGAGGGCGGUAGGGGCUGGUGGAAUGCCUGGUGUAGUGGUGAAAUGCGUUGAGAUCGGAAGGAACGCCCGUGGCGAAAGCGAGGUCCUGGACGCCUACUGACGCUGAGACGCGAAAGCCAGGGGAGCGAACGGG
rnacentral:rRNA from 1 species